rnacentral:tRNA from 1 species
GGUGGUACAGCUCAGUGGUAGAGUGCCUGCUUAGCAUGCAGGAGGUCCUGCAUUCAAUACCCAGUACCACCA